UCUUAAACUUGUCUGAUCCAUAGCUUGCUGCUUCAGCUUGUCUUUUAAAAUUCAUGCUUAUUGGAGGUCUUAGCUUAGUCAUCUUGGAACUAUUUGUAGGGGCACUACGGCACUAGUUAGGCUAAAUCUUGGAAAAUCAUGACCAUUGCAGUUUGUCCAUCUUAAUUUUAAGCAUAAAAGGUUUCUAGUUAACAUCCUGUCGCAUCUGUCGUUGCAAGUCAAGCUAUCAUGUAGAUUCGUUUAGCAACUUAACUUUUCUGAGGGGAACUUUGGAUAUAUAGUCUUCUGGUCAUAAGUUAAAGCGGAGAUGCUGGGGCACAUGCAGCUUAGUUCUGGAAAAGUUUUUGAAAUUGUAGCUUUUUAAUCCAAGUCUGUCGUGCUACUGUAAAUUAGUCUGUUUUUCCUAA